AGUUUAUUUACGGAUCAGAAUUUUAUAUUUACACAUUUUUGAGACACAUUUCCUUUGGUCUGUUAGUUCUCGUGUGCGUGGUUUCAGUCAGAGGGCUCGCUUGGUGGGACUUUUGGAAUAUCCGGACUGUAGCCUGGUAGAUUGGAGUCUACAUGUAGCUAGGACAAUUUUUUUCUGAAAUGGGUACUCAACUCAUAGUCACAUGGACGUCCUCGCUAGGGGGAGCCCUCGAGUGGAUGUUUAGCUGGACGGACGAGUGACAAGUGACGUUGAGCUGGAUUUUGAUCCGGAUGGACGGGAGAAGCAAGUAGAUCCCUCAGAGCGAUACGGACGUCCACCACGGUCACAUGGACGUCCACGCUAGGGGGAGCCCUCGAGUAGAUGUUGAGCCGGACGGACGGGCGAUGAGGGAUUUUGAGCAUGUUGUGCGGGAAGUUGAGCAGACGGGCGAUGAAGAUGGAGGGCAUGGUCCGGACUGACAGGAAAGUGGCCUGGAUGUCAGCAUCCAGCUCUAACUGGAUGUACAUUGAAGCGAACUGGAUAUCUUGUGUAUGAACAUAUUUUGAACGUAAUAAAAUUGAGAAUGAAGCGA